UGAUAUUUCCUUUUUUCUUGGCUCGAAAUUGAAAACAUGGAAGUUAAGCUUCUUUUGUAUGAUUCUCGUUAUCCUGAACAAAAUAUUCCAAGUAUUAAGAAUAGGUAGUUAUGCUGCUUGAUAUUUCUUAGUAAUCCAUCGCCUUCUCUCGCUUCUCGCCGAAACAAUAUGUGAUGAUAACUUUGGUUGUUUAGUACCCACUAGAACAAAUGCUGAAUUUGCAAUACAAUUCUAGCUCAAACACUUGCAGUGAAAUUACUGAAACUGGAUAAAAGAGCACGGUUGAGCAGAAUAUGACUUUCAGUGUUCAACUAAGCCGAGGAACACCAUGAAGGCAGACGCCUAUCUCGUGUGCCUCUUCCUCUGGCUGGUCGAGUAAGUCAAAGUUCUCUAUGCUAAAGUAUUGAAUUCUUUCAACACGUUACUAGAUCUAAAGUCUCUCCAUAGCCUUCUGCUACUCUACACUCUGUGACGCUUCUUUAUAUGUCGAUGGCUCUACCACUUUCUUCUCUGGCUUACAGAGUCCUACAAUGAAUCAAUCCACUAUCGGUGCAAAACAAAGCCUAGGAACACUGACAAGGCCUGUCUUGUAGUCUCUAAGUGAUCAAAUCCUCACUUUUACAGGCGUGCUAGACUAGCACAACCCAGCGGGAACAAAUUAUCCCUACUCUUGGCUUCAAAAGAGAUUGUGUAGAUUUGAUUAAAAACAUGAACCGACAAAAAUUCUCAACUGAUAGGUAUGGGUGAAUGUUUAGUGAAAUCCUCCUGAACACCUGAACCAUGUACCAUUUUGCUGCAGAAGUUAGUUUUCAAGAUUGAGGCCACAGCUAUAAUCACUAAUGAAUCAUAUGAUCUAAAUUUUCUGAGGCAAUUAAUUGAAUUGUUUCAGAUGACUGGUUGUGGAAGGUCAUACUGCUAUGAUGUUAUAACUUAAAGUACAAAUUUUUAGGGCUGGCCAGCUAGCAUUGGAGUCCAAGGUUCUAUCACACUCGUUAUGACAUUUGAUUCACCAGAGGCUGAACAGAGUAACAAAGACAUAUACCGACAGGCCAGGGCUGUUACUUUUGCACGAAACUUUGUUUUAAGCAGUUCUAAUGUGCUCCAGAAGUGCUUCAAAAUUUGAGCUGGGCGUUUGGUGUUGAAUGCAAAUUCCGUUACCCUCUUGUUUUGAUAUUAAUUUCGAUUGAUCUCUAGGAUUGAUUGGUGACGUUACUUGGUUUGCUUGAUAACGAUCAAGUAUUGGAUCUGAUAAAUUAUUGCUGUGGUUCUUACAAAGGAAUCAGCGGGGUAAAUUUAAACCAGUAUGCUCAUGUAGCAACUGCUGGUUAUUGGUUUUGUGUGGUCUAAUUAUUAUCAGUUGUACCGUUAAACAGAGGACCUCAUUUUCUGAACUAUGCUUGAUUACUUCUGCAAAGUAUACUCACUGGCUUGCCUGGA